CACAACAAUUUCACCUUGAUUUUCUUUUCUCCGCGAUAUCUUAAAUUUGAGGCACGUAUGGUUUGAUAUUAGCAAUUGUCAAUGUGUCAACUUAGAUUAUAUCCACCAGGAGGUCUAUAUUGCAUUUUUUGGCUGUUAAAUCUUUAGAAGUAAGAAGAUACAAUACAUUCAGACGAAAGCAUUACUGUGAAUACCAUAUUACUUUUUCGUAGUUGGGCGUCACUUGAAGCCCACUUGCUUGCCUUUUUCGACUGCAAAGUAAUUCCACUUCGAAAUUCGAUAACUUACAAUAUUUGACAGUUCAAACUUCAAAGGAUGUUGUUAAUUUUCUCAAGGGUUGAAUGUUUUUCAGCAAUCUGUUGUAUAUUCGAUCACUUGUUUGUUCCAUUUCAUUCCUGCCUCACUAUUUGCUCUGGUUCUCGGGUCAUAUUAGGCUAAUUACUUUCAUUUUCAAGACGAGUUCUUAAAGGAUGUAAUCCCUCAGGGUCGGCUAGCAGAGUUGUUGAUUCCAUUCUCAACUCCAAGCGUCUGGAUCUAUACAGCUUGUAUAGAGAGGGAGCUUCCUUUUAUAACUACAGGAGGUAGUUUUCAAACUGGAGUCGAACACACUAGGGAAAUGUAAUGCUCCACCACGGAGAGAGUUUGCUUCUUUGUUGCUUUGCAUUGAUGUGGCAAAAAUGGUGAUUAAACUAAGAUGGACAACAAAGGGAGCUGAGGGACGUAAACAAAUAGGCAUCUGGAAUUAUAAUGGCAAACAAUAUUCACAUAACGUCUGGCGGAUGCUGGUUUGGGUCUUUAUUAUUUGAAAAAAAUUGUAUGCAUAUUAGUAUAUGAUGCAUGAUAAUGAUGAUUUUAACAACUAAUGUAUUUUCCCAUUAAAAAGGUGUCAUGUAGGUUGCAGGCCUUGCGGCUCCAUGUCGUUUAUCAAAGUAGAUAGCUAGGGGUCAUGUAAGUUGCGGUCAUUGCGGCUCCAUGUCUAUCAAAGUAGUAAGCACUAUGUUGGUCAAAGAUGAUGUUGCAUGCCAGUGCUCUUGGAUCCAGUAACCUUUGCCAGUUCAAAAUAUUUCUUACAAAGGUGUGGCUAUACUAGAAGAAGCCAUGACAACUCGAAGUUGCAUGGAGCACCAUUCCGUCUUUUGGGGAGCUUUUCUUAGAUAAUGGGUUGAAAACUAUAUGGAGAGCCAAAGUGAAAGAUGUAGCGUGGUGAGAAUUUUAGCAGAAUUAGCGUCAAACAUUGUUACAAUCGCAUCUCAUGUUCAGAAAGGAUAUGCAUUGACCCAGAGAUAAUGUCAAAUGAUUUUUGUAAAUAUUAAAAAAAAAUAUUCAAGUGGUGUUGUCGCAAAUAUUAGAUAUUUGUAUUCAGAAGACCAUUUUUUUUACUCUUAGCACAAAAUAGAUAUUUGUGUUUGAGAGAUGAUCAACUUAUUCGCUAUUGCAUCAAUAAACAGUAAUCUUGUAAAGUGUUUUUGGUUACAAUCUUCAAAUAAUUUUUCAAGGUAGAUACUCUAACAAA